rnacentral:rRNA from 1 species
UGGGGAAUAUUGCGCAAUGGGGGAAACCCUGACGCAGCAACGCCGCGUGGAGGAAGAAGGUCUUCGGAUUGUAAACUCCUGUCUUCUGGGACGAAUAAUGACGGUACCAGAGGAGGAAGCCACGGCUAACUACGUGCCAGCAGCCGCGGUAAUACGUAGGUGGCAAGCGUUGUCCGGAAUUAUUGGGCGUAAAGGGCGCGUAGGCGGCAACCUAAGUCAGAUGUGAAACCCUGGGGCUUAACUCCGGACGUGCAUUUGAAACUGGGUAGCUAGAGUGCAGGAGAGGAAAGCGGAAUUCCUAGUGUAGCGGUGAAAUGCGUAGAUAUUAGGAGGAACGCCAGUGGCAAAGGCGGCUUUCUGGACUGUAACUGACGCUGAGGCGCGAAAGCGUGGGGAGCAAACAGGAUUAGAUACCCUGGUAGUCCACGCUGUAAACGAUGGAUACUAGGUGUGGGAGGUAUCGACCCCUUCCGUGCCGCAGUAAACGCAAUAAGUAUCCCGCCUGGGGAGUACGGCCGCAAGGUUGAAACUCAAAUGAAUUG